rnacentral:rRNA from 1 species
CAAUAGCGUAUACUAAAGUUGUUGCGAUUAAAAAGCUCGUAGUUGGAUCUCAGGCAUGGGCGCACGGUCCGCCUCGCGGCGGUAACUGUGUGUUUUGUUUCCCAUCCUACGCUUCCCGGUUAUCAGCCCAUGGUGCUCUUCACUGAGCGUUUUGGGUGGCCGGAACGUUUACUUUGAAGAAAUUAGAGUGUUCAAAGCAGGCACGUUGCCUGAAUAAUGGUGCAUGGAAUAAUGGAAUAGGACCUCGGUUCUAUUUUGCUGGUUUUCGGAACACGAGGUAAUGAUUAAGAGGGACAGACGGGGGCAUCCGUAUUGCGGUGUUAGAGGUGAAAUUCUUGGAUCAUCGCAAGACGAACAACUGCGAAAGCAUUUGCCAAGCAUGUUUUCAUUAG